rnacentral:rRNA from 1 species
AGCUUGCUGGGUGGAUCAGUGGCGAACGGGUGAGUAACACGUGAGCAAUCUGCCCCUGACUCUGGGAUAAGCGCUGGAAACGGUGUCUAAUACUGGAUACGAACCGUGGAGGCAUCUUCAACGGUUGGAAAGAUUUUUUGGUCAGGGAUGAGCUCGCGGCCUAUCAGCUUGUUGGUGAGGUAAUGGCUCACCAAGGCGUCGACGGGUAGCCGGCCUGAGAGGGUGACCGGCCACACUGGGACUGAGACACGGCCCAGACUCCUACGGGAGGCAGCAGUGGGGAAUAUUGCACAAUGGGCGGAAGCCUGAUGCAGCAACGCCGCGUGAGGGAUGACGGCCUUCGGGUUGUAAACCUCUUUUAGCAGGGAAGAAGCGUGAGUGACGGUACCUGCAGAAAAAGCGCCGGCUAACUACGUGCCAGCAGCCGCGGUAAUACGUAGGGCGCAAGCGUUAUCCGGAAUUAUUGGGCGUAAAGAGCUCGUAGGCGGUUUGUCGCGUCUGCUGUGAAAUCCCGAGGCUCAACCUCGGGUCUGCAGUGGGUACGGGCAGACUAGAGUGCGGUAGGGGAGAUUGGAAUUCCUGGUGUAGCGGUGGAAUGCGCAGAUAUCAGGAGGAACACCGAUGGCGAAGGCAGAUCUCUGGGCCGUAACUGACGCUGAGGAGCGAAAGGGUGGGGAGCAAACAGGCUUAGAUACCCUGGUAGUCCACCCCGUAAACGUUGGGAACUAGUUGUGGGGUCCAUUCCACGGAUUCCGUGACGCAGCUAACGCAUUAAGUUCCCCGCCUGGGGAGUACGGCCGCAAGGCUAAAACUCAAAGGAAUUGACGGGGACCCGCACAAGCGGCGGAGCAUGCGGAUUAAUUCGAUGCAACGCGAAGAACCUUACCAAGGCUUGACAUAUACGAGAACGCUGCAGAAAUGUGGAACUCUUUGGACACUCGUAAACAGGUGGUGCAUGGUUGUCGUCAGCUCGUGUCGUGAGAUGUUGGGUUAAGUCCCGCAACGAGCGCAACCCUCGUUCUAUGUUGCCAGCACGUAAUGGUGGGAACUCAUGGGAUACUGCCGGGGUCAACUCGGAGGAAGGUGGGGAUGACGUCAAAUCAUCAUGCCCCUUAUGUCUUGGGCUUCACGCAUGCUACAAUGGCCGGUACAAAGGGCUGCAAUACCGUAAGGUGGAGCGAAUCCCAAAAAGCCGGUCCCAGUUCGGAUUGAGGUCUGCAACUCGACCUCAUGAAGUCGGAGUCGCUAGUAAUCGCAGAUCAGCAACGCUGCGGUGAAUACGUUCCCGGGUCUUGUACACACCGCCCGUCAAGUCAUGAAAGUCGGUAACACCUGAAGCCGG